UAAGAUUGUUUCUGAAAUAAAAAAUAUUUUAAUAAAAAAGUCAGUAAGUGGAAACUGGAAGGAUAUCCACAAAUUGGUGGAUGGAUAAAAAGUAUGUAGUAUAUCUUUACAAGGGGUGUUAUUCAAUAAUAAAAGGAAAUGAACAACUGCUAUCUACUACAACAUUAAUGAACAUUGAAAAUCUCAUUUUAAACUAAAUAAAUCAGGCAUAUAAGGCCACAUUGUUAUUCCACUUAGAUGUAAGGUAACAAGUGACAACCAGGCAGAUAGAUAAACAAUAGAAAGUCAUACAUACACAUACACAUGCACAUGUACACACAGACAUAGACACACACACACACACACACACACACACACACACACACACACACACACACACACAUACACCUAACCUUGCUCUUUAGUGUUAUCUCAUUAAGUCUCCAAUGCUUAUUAUCAAUUAUCACGUGUUCUCCAAUCAUACUAGAUGCCAUGGAGAAUUGAAGGGGUAUAGUGCUACUUCUCUUCUCACAUCCAGUAGAGAAUGCAAGGUUUACACACAGGAUAAUCACUGAGAAACAUAAGCUAACAAACAGCAAAGUAUUAAGUUUUAUAGUAGUAGUGCUAACUGAUAUUGGAGUUUAAUGGGAGGCAAUAUAUGUACUUGGACAAGACUACACAAAGAGUAAAUACAUUAAUUUGCCAAUGUAACAGAUAUUAAGGAAGAAAACAUACUCUUCACAACCAAACAUGAGGAAAUGAUAGGGGAGGAGCAGGGGAAAUGGAGUAAGUCAAAGAAAAGAGAUAGAUAUCAUGGUGCUAGAGAAUACAAGGGAAGUUUGGGACACUUAUACUACAGAGCUGCUUAUUUGGAUGGCUCUAGUCCAGUAAUUUAGAUGGGAACAUUGUACAGACUAGGACAUUGAGGUCCAAAUAGAAAAAAUAGGUUUCUGUGAUGGAAAUCAUAUACAAAAAUAUUUCACAGAAAGGGUUAGCAUGCACUGACAGAUGCUGUAAAGACAUAGAGAAAGAUAAUACAGGAGACAUGUUGAUUUUAGCCUCUAGGAGUUAGGGGGUAAAUUACAAAAAAGGAAGAACAGAAUCUACAGUUUGUGUAGGAAGGUAAGUGGUGAUGAGUAAUAGGUAUAGCUGGCAUCAGUUAAGCAGAUUUCAAUAGUGAGUGAAAUAGCCUCUAUUAAAAUGAAUUAGUUUUUAUCUCUUUAUCUUUGUGUUUUAUUUCCAAAAUAGGAUUUUACAAAGGGACUGGAUAUUUUUUUACAUAACAUAUAUUCCCCUAAAGUAUAGGAUAUGGAUCAUGAGCUUUGGGAUUUAGCAACAUUCUUUGUAUUCCUACCUCUGUUUAUCUUAACUGCAUAACUGAGCAAGUCCUUUCUUCUUGCAAACAGAGUUUUUCUCAUCUGUCAAAAAAAAGAUUAUGAAAAUACACAAGGGUGGUGAUGGAGAGGAUAUGGAGAUAUAGGAAUAUAAAACUGCAUUGCAUGGUCCCAGGCAUAUAAUAAGUUUUUCACAGCUUUGACAAAUACCAGAGGGAAACAACUUAAACAUCUUAAAAGGAUCUGUACAGUUAAACUUAAUUGUCAACUUGACUGGAUUUCUAAUUACCCAAGAUUUGUAAGGUACACCUGUGAUUUGUCUUUGAGGUAAUUUCCAUACAACUUAUUUAGGUUACGAAGACCCAUAGUAAACAUGGGCCAUGCCAUACCAUAAAUUGGAAACAUAAUUGAAUAAUGGUGAGAAGGCAAAAUAAUGAAGAUCCUGAAUUCCAUUUCUCUGAGUCAUUGCCUGCCAUGACAUGAACUAAUUGAUGGGUUGAACAUUGUAAGGCUGUAAGUCAAAAUAAGUAAUCACUUCUCUCAAGAUUUUUGGACUUAGGGACACAAAACUAAUACCAGAAGAUAAGAUUUAUUUUGGGUCAUGACCUCAGAGGCUUCAGUCUGAACUUUGUCUGGGUCUGUCAUGAGGCAAAACAUCAUGA
rnacentral:lncRNA from 1 species